GACAAGGGUGUAAAGUUGACCGAAGAAAGGCCAAGGGAAACUGCUUAAAAGAUCUAUUUUAAAUUACUUGCUGUUUAGGUUUCUUAAUGCUCCAGCCCAUCUGGAAUUCCCAGCAGAAUACACUCUCUACAUGCCUGUUCAUCCCGUGCUUUCGCAAACUCCCAGCACACUGCUGUGCACGUUUAAAGGCACUCUAAAAAAACUAACAACUGAAUGUUGUUUGAAAAAAAACUGACUGGCUCCUCCCAUCAGCUGUUUUUGUCUGCACCUAGAUGAUGCCAUGCAUCUGGAUGAAGAGAACAAAUCCUACCAACUAUCAGGUGAGCUAUCUGAGGAUCUGAGAAUCAAGAGCCCCUGCCUUGGAUGAGGCCUUGUCCAGGCAGUGGCAGUGAGACUGGGAGAAACAUCUCAUCUUGCUCCCCGGGGAUAAAGCUGACAGCUCUCCUGGAGAUGUACAGGAAGGCAUUUUGGCUUCAGAUCUUCUGAAUCAAGCGCAACUUGCUGGCAUCCUGACUGCUUCAGGGAGACACCACUGUCACCUUUGAGAUGGAGUCUUAGAAGGCUUUCUUCCAGCCAGUUGCAAACUGCUUCAUGGCUAGCUUUCCUUCUCAACCUCCUGCACUAUGACUCCACAAUCAGCACUAGAAGCAGAAGAAAUAGCUGAACCAAGAAUGUUCCAUCAGCUCCUACAAUUGCGUGAGGUUAAAAUCUCUGUCCAUUUUCAGAAGCAAAUUUUCUACUUUUUGGCAAAAAGACUGCCUCCUGAAGUCCAGCCCACUUUGGGGUGUGGAGCGAUAGCCCAUGUGGUAAGAGUAAGCGGACUGCCUUGCCCACUUUGCUUCCUUGGUCCAUGUGCCUCUCCUUCAGGAGCUUCUCAAAGUGAGUGCCUGGAUCACCAUGAGAUGUUAGUAUUCCUGGUACAUUCUGGUAUCUUAUCUAGACUCCUUAGGAAAAUAAGAUUUCUCAUCAAAACCUCAGUGUGUCUGUCUCUGGAAAACUGUACGUGAUUACACUAGAGCUAAAAUGUUGUAAAUAAAACCAUAAUAGCAUGUUUUAUUCUUUCCAUUGUGCCUUUCCACUUACCAAACAUUUUAGCAUACAUUUUAAAAUUGGUCCUCCCAAGUAUUUCAUUAGCUAAAUAGGGAUGCAUUAUUUAUACCCAUUUCUCAGAUGACAGUAGAGGUUGUGACAAGUAUAAAAUCAUAAAAGUUCUAAGCAAAACGGCUGACACUGGCACGUAGUAGAGAGGCUUUUUAUGAUACAGACUGAAUCUAACAAUUAGCCCCACGAGGAUGGAUGGGCAGUUUGUAUCAAAUUGUUUUUAAUCUACCCAAAAAUCUCCAUCAGUAGCAGCUGAAAAUGAGUGUCAAUGGAAAGAAGGUGAGCUUCAUCUCAUUUCCCUGAGUCUGCAAGAAGCUGCUUUUUAUGGUGGGAUUAUGAAACCUGCAGCUCCUGAACAAAUACUUGAAUGCUAUUGAUUUCGAGAUAAAGGAAACAAGAAGAGGACUUUGUAUAAGAUGAGACAGGAAGAUGCUUGUAUAACACUUUAUAUGCCAAAACCAAAAACAAAACCCAAAAGACUUAGAAGAGAAUGAACGAAAAAAUGAAAAGUAAUACUAGGCAGAUGUUUAACCUAUCAGAACUGUAAUGUGAUUAGUGGGUAAAAAUGGUCCCAUCUUUACUCAGAGCUUAUUCCUGCAGACUGUAGGGUAAUCAGGACAGCCAGGACGAAUAAACCUCAUACACUGGGUCACGCACUCCAGAGCCUCUGUGGCAUCAGGUAACAGGAACUAAGUGAUGUUCCAUCAGCCUCUGGGGAAGAGCAUGUGAGAGGAAGCGGGACGAAAAAUGAGGUCCUGAAAAUCACUCAGAGUCUCUUAAGUUUCUUAUGUAGAAGAAACCUUGCUACACAGUGGACACAGUCUCUUGAGGGAGCUUUGAGUCUCUGCUAACACUCAGGCUUUUCUUACUGGCUUGGUCAUCACUGGCUUCCCAGGAUAGGGUGUCCCCUUGAUUAGAGUCAGCAUCCUGGAUAGAGAAAGGAUGCUAAUAGAUUUUGCUGCUUCCUAUAGUUUGGCUCUAAAGAGAACAAAAAGGAGUACUUUAGAAUUUUAAAAAAUAAACUUUAUUCUUGUGAUUUUUGUUAUUCCCCUUAAAACAGGCAGAUUAUAAAAAUAGAUU